UCUGUUGUUCCUGCAAUGAUUUAUGAACCUACAGUAUUUCACGAAGCAGCUAUAUCGUGUUGACCAAGAUGAAGGGGGAAGAGAGAACUUGCCACAGGUAAAGACAAUAGAAGGAUAAGCAUGAAAGGGUUUUACAGCAGUAAGCAUUUGCACUUCCAUAAUACUUAAGUACAUAGCAUUUUAAUUGGCUAUCUAGAUUGAUCCCAAACCUGUAGAAUAUCAAGUAUAGGUCUGCUAUUUAGGACGGAAGCUUGACACAUCAGAAAGGAGCAGUUCUGCAAUUUAUUCUUUGGACUAUUUUCUGUCAUGCUGAAAGACCUUGAGCUUAUCUUUAUAAGGAUCUCAGAUGGCACAAUCUUAUCACUCUGAUGGUUGUAACUGAAGUAUGGACACUAUUAGGAGUAAUCAUGAGGCUAUCAAAUUUCUCCAGCUGGUCAUUGCGGCCUUGAAAUGGUGUUGGCCGUUGCUACAAUGGGAGCACCCAGAACAUGCAUGCUGCCAUGGUGCCGACUGAAGCCAGUGCAGGACAAGAUGAACGACCACUGUGUUCAGAACUGUCACAGGGUGUCAAGGUGAGGAUGGAAGAACAUCAUCUUUUUGGGUAGACGAUUGGCUCCCUAGACUGUGGGACGGCUGCUAAUCUGGCAACCAAUCCUCUUCACUUCUGUCGAACUGGGCAAAAAGACAGUGGUGGGCAGCUCUGGAGAGUGACAAUUGGAUGGGAGACCCUUCAACAUAUGCGGCUGCAACAACAUGUGCUUCAUAUUAUUGAAUGGAAACUGUCGAGCAAUGGAUAGUACUGUCUGUUCUUUAUGCCCCGAAUACAGGUAAACUGCUUCAAGAUGAACUGGAAAGUGAAGGCCCAUGUUAAUUACAAGUGCUUCGUGUAAUCAUGCACUUGGUCAUCCUGGGGUCAUGUAUCACAGCAGCGUCUCACAAUCAAGCACUGAGGCUGAACACAGUGCUGCUGCUGCUACAGAGUUGGUUUGGGUGCAGUGCCUGCACAAGGAACUUGGUUUUUAUUAGAUUCAGCUCCCUCGUCAAUGCUGUGAUAAUCUUGAAACCACUUACUUGAUGGUGAUAAUGCUGUUCAGGUGUGCCUUUCCAUUUUGGCAUCAACCUACUUUGGCUGGGAUGAAAGAGCAAAAGGCUACUACUUAGUUCUAGUAUUCAGGGAAUAGAGAACAGACAGUGAGACUUGUGCCUGGCUGAAAUGCUAUGGCAUGCAAACUGAAUUAUCCAUCCAAACUAGAGAGUACCCAAUAAAGCUAUUUUUGUUAGAUGAUGGAACUUUGUUUAUACGCAGAAAAACGUGCUGAGUUUACAAAAUGCUGUCUUGAUUGGAGGCUAAUGGAUCAGUUUGGGGUUAAAAAGUGUUUUUUCCAAUAAAAAGGAGUUAGAUCUUACUUGAGUGUGUACAAUCAAAACAGGAAUCAUAUGUAGCAUAUAAGUGAA